AACGAACGCUGGCGGCAGGCUUAACACAUGCAAGUCGAACGCCCCGCAAGGGGAGUGGCAGACGGGUGAGUAACGCGUGGGAAUCUACCCAUCUCUGCGGAAUAGCUCCGGGAAACUGGAAUUAAUACCGCAUACGCCCUACGGGGGAAAGAUUUAUCGGGGAUGGAUGAGCCCGCGUUGGAUUAGCUAGUUGGUGGGGUAAAGGCCUACCAAGGCGACGAUCCAUAGCUGGUCUGAGAGGAUGAUCAGCCACAUUGGGACUGAGACACGGCCCAACCUCCUACGGGAGGCAGCAGUGGGGAAUAUUGGACAAUGGGCGCAAGCCUGAUCCAGCCAUGCCGCGUGAGUGAUGAAGGCCUUAGGGUUGUAAAGCUCUUUCACCGGUGAAGAUAAUGACGGUAACCGGAGAAGAAGACCCGGCUAACUUCGUGCCAGCAGCCGCCGUAAUAC
rnacentral:rRNA from 1 species